rnacentral:rRNA from 2 species
GAUUAAGCCAUGCAUGUGUAAGUAUAAAUAGUUAACUUUGAAACUGCGAAUGGCUCAUUAUAUCAGUUAUAGUUUAUUUGAUGAAGAAUACUAAUUGGAUAACCGUAGUAAUUCUAGAGCUAAUACAUGUAUAAAGUCUUGUAGACUGCAUUUAUUAGAAUGAAAACCAUAGGUUUCGGCCUAUUCGUGAGUAAUAAUAACUAAUCAUAUCGUAUGCGAUUUGUAACGAUGUGUCUUUCAAGUUUCUGCCCUAUCAGCUUUCGAUGGUAGUGUAUUGGACUACCAUG